rnacentral:rRNA from 1 species
AGGACGAACGCUGGCGGCAGGCUUAACACAUGCAAGUCGAGCGCCCUGCAAGGGGAGCGGCGGACGGGUGAGUAACACGUGGGAACAUGCCCUUUGGUUCGGAACAACUCAGGGAAACUUGAGCUAAUACCGAAUGUGCCGGUAACGGGAAAGAUUUAUCGCCAAGGGAUUGGCCCGCGUCCGAUUAGCUAGUUGGUGAGGUAAUGGCUCACCAAGGCGACGAUCGGUAGCUGGUCUGAGAGGAUGACCAGCAUCACUGGGACUGAGACACGGCCCAGACUCCUACGGGAGGCAGCAGUGGGGAAUAUUGGACAAUGGGCGCAAGCCUGAUCCAGCCAUGCCGCGUGGACGAUGAAGGCCUUAGGGUUGUAAAGUCCUUUUAACGGGGAAGAUAAUGACGGUACCGUAGAAUAAGCCCGGCUAACUUCGUGCCAGCAGCCGC